rnacentral:rRNA from 1 species
AGUGAACGCUGGCGGCAGGCCUAACACAUGCAAGUCGAACGGCAGCACAGAGGAGCUUGCUCCUUGGGUGGCGAGUGGCGGACGGGUGAGGAAUACAUCGGAAUCUGCCUAUUUGUGGGGGAUAACGUAGGGAAACUUACGCUAAUACCGCAUACGACCUACGGGUGAAAGCGGAGGACCUUCGGGCUUCGCGCAGAUAGAUGAGCCGAUGUCGGAUUAGCUAGUUGGCGGGGUAAAGGCCCACCAAGGCGACGAUCCGUAGCUGGUCUGAGAGGAUGAUCAGCCACACUGGAACUGAGACACGGUCCAGACUCCUACGGGAGGCAGCAGUGGGGAAUAUUGGACAAUGGGCGCAAGCCUGAUCCAGCCAUGCCGCGUGGGUGAAGAAGGCCUUCGGGUUGUAAAGCCCUUUUGUUGGGAAAGAAAGGCAGUCGGUUAAUACCCGAUUGUUCUGACGGUACCCAAAGAAUAAGCACCGGCUAACUUCGUGCCAGCAGCCGCGGUAAUACGAAGGGUGCAAGCGUUACUCGGAAUUACUGGGCGUAAAGCGUGCGUAGGUGGUUUGUUAAGUCUGAUGUGAAAGCCCUGGGCUCAACCUGGGAAUUGCAUUGGAUACUGGCAGGCUAGAGUGCGGUAGAGGGUAGUGGAAUUCCCGGUGUAGCGGUGAAAUGCGUAGAGAUCGGGAGGAACAUCCGUGGCGAAGGCGACUACCUGGACCAGCACUGACACUGAGGCACGAAAGCGUGGGGAGCAAACAGGAUUAGAUACCCUGGUAGUCCACGCCCUAAACGAUGCGAACUGGAUGUUGGGUUCAACUAGGAACUCAGUAUCGAAGCUAACGCGUUAAGUUCGCCGCCUGGGGAGUACGGUCGCAAGACUGAAACUCAAAGGAAUUGACGGGGGCCCGCACAAGCGGUGGAGUAUGUGGUUUAAUUCGAUGCAACGCGAAGAACCUUACCUGGCCUUGACAUGCACGGAACUUUCCAGAGAUGGAUUGGUGCCUUCGGGAACCGUGACACAGGUGCUGCAUGGCUGUCGUCAGCUCGUGGCGUGAGAUGUUGGGUUAAGUCCCGCAACGAGCGCAACCCUUGUCCUUAGUUGCCAGCACGUAAUGGUGGGAACUCUAAGGAGACCGCCGGUGACAAACCGGAGGAAGGUGGGGAUGACGUCAAGUCAUCAUGGCCCUUACGGCCAGGGCUACACACGUACUACAAUGGGAAGGACAGAGGGCUGCGAACCCGCGAGGGCAAGCCAAUCCCAGAAACCUUCUCUCAGUCCGGAUCGGAGUCUGCAACUCGACUCCGUGAAGUCGGAAUCGCUAGUAAUCGCAGGUCAGCAUUGCCGCGGUGAAUACGUUCCCGGGCCU